UCAGUUCGGAUCGGAGUCUGCAACCCGACUCCGUGAAGCUGGAUUCGCUAGUAAUCGCGCAUCAGCCAUGGCGCGGUGAAUACGUUCCCGGGCCUUGUACACACCGCCCGUCAAGCCAUGGGAGCCGGGAGCGCUUGAAGUGCGUCGCCGCGAGGCGCGCCCUAGAGCGAGACCGGUGACGUGGGGCUAAGUCGUAACAAGGUAAC
rnacentral:rRNA from 1 species